CUCAUCUUAAGGUCUGUGACGCGUCGCCGUUGCCGCAGUUGCUCAGUUGACGCCGCGUGUACCGGGCUGGUCUCCGAGGCGCCGCCAGUAGUUAUUGGACCCUCUGAAGACCAUCCCUGGAUCUCGGGUUAAAAAUCUGUAUUCUCAUCUGAACUGUGUGAAGAAGGGUUAGCUGGUUGGUGAUAUUCC